GCAUGGUUAGCUCAGUUGGUAGAGCGCUCCACUGGAAAUGGAGGUCCCAAGUUCGAUAUCAGGACCAGGCG
rnacentral:tRNA from 2 species